rnacentral:tRNA from 1 species
UGGUUCCGCCCGGGAUCGAACCGGGGACCUUUCGCGUGUAAAGCGAACAUGAUAACCACUAGACUC